rnacentral:rRNA from 1 species
ACGGGAGGCAGCAGUGGGGGAUAUUGGUCAAUGGGGGAAACCCUGAACCAGCGACGCCGCGUGAGUGAAGAAGUAUUUCGGUAUGUAAAGCUCUAUCAGCAGGGAAGAAAAAAUCAAAAUUGACAGUACCUGACUAAGAAGCCCCGGCUAACUACGUGCCAGCAGCCGCGGUAAUACGUAGGGGGCAAGCGUUAUCCGGAUUUACUGGGCGUAAAGGGCGUGUAGGCGGUCUUGCAAGUCAGAAGUGAAAUUCCUGAGCUCAACUCGGGCGCUGCUUCUGAAACUGCAGGACUUGAGUGCUGGAGGGGAUAGCGGAAUUCCUAGUGGAGCGGUAAAAUGCGCAGAUAUUAGGAAGAACACCGGUGGCGAAGGCGGCUAUCUGGACAGUAACUGACGCUGAGGCGCGAAAGCGUGGGGAGCAAACAGGAUUAGAUACCCUGGUA